rnacentral:rRNA from 1 species
UAAUAAAACAGAAUUUGCCUGGCGGCCUUAGCGCGGUGGUCCCACCUGACCCCAUGCCGAACUCAGAAGUGAAACGCCGUAGCGCCGAUGGUAGUGUGGGGUCUCCCCAUGCGAGAGUAGGGAACUGCCAGGCAUCAAAUUUAGCGUGCUGAUAUGGCUCAGUUGGUAGAGCGCACCCUUGGUAAGGGUGAGGUCCCCAGUUCGACUCUGGGUAUCAGCACC